UACGAAGGGGGCUAGCGUUGCUCGGAAUCACUGGGCGUAAAGGGUGCGUAGGCGGGUUUUAAGUCAGGGGUGAAAUCCUGGAGCUCAACUCCAGAACUGCCUUGAUACUGAAGAUCUUGAGUUCGGGAGAGGUGAGUGGAACUGCGAGUGUAGAGGUGAAAUUCGUAGAUAUUCGCAAGAACACCAGUGGCGAAGGCGGCUCACUGGCCCGAUACUGACGCUGAGGUGCGAAAGCGUGGGGAGCAACA
rnacentral:rRNA from 1 species